UACGUAGGGGGCGAGCGUUGUCCGGAAUCAUUGGGCGUAAAGCGCGUGUAGGCGGCCCGGUAAGUCCGCUGUGAAAGUCCAGGGCUCAACCCUGGGAUGCCGGUGGAUACUGUCGGGCUAGAGUCCGGAAGAGGAGUGUGGAAUUCCUGGUGUAGCGGUGAAAUGCAUUGAGAUCGGAAAGAACACCAACGGCGAAAGCACUCUGCUGGGCCGACACUGACACUGAGAGACGAAAGCUAGGGGAGCAAAUGGG
rnacentral:rRNA from 1 species